UACGGCCAUAUCACAUUAAAACACCAGUUCUUAUAUGAUCACCGUAGUUAAGCAAUAUCGAGCCUGCUCAGUCCCUAGAUGGGUGACCAUAUGUGAAUACCAUAUACUGUA